GCCGGGCAUGGUGGUGCGUGCCUGUAGUCCCAGCUACUUAGGAGGCUGAGGUGGGAGAAUUGCUUGAACCCAGGAGGCAGAGGUUCAGCAAGCCAAGAUUGCACCACUGCACUCCAGCCUGGGUAACAGAGCGAGACUCUAUCUCAA
rnacentral:SRP_RNA from 2 species